UACGAAGGGGGCUAGCGUUGCUCGGAAUCACUGGGCGUAAAGGGUGCGUAGGCGGGUCUUUAAGUCAGGGGUGAAAUCCUGGAGCUCAACUUCAGAACUGCCUUUGAUACUGGCAACCUUGAGUCCGGGAGAGGUGAGUGGAACUGCGAGUGUAGAGGUGAAAUUCGUAGAUAUUCGCAAGAACACCAGUGGCGAAGGCGGCUCACUGGCCCGGUACUGACGCUGAGGUGCGAAAGCGUGGGGAGCAAACAGG
rnacentral:rRNA from 1 species